AGCUAAGAAAUUAAAGAAGACCCUAGGGCCUCCUGAGGUGGCUGACACAUCCAUCUGGGUCUUCAGGUGGGCUAGGGUGUUGCCCUUAUUCAGCUUUGUAGGGCCCUUUAUAGAGCUAUUGGGCCCUUUUUCCCUACCAUUGGGUUUCACAAGUGCUCAGCCUGUAUCAAAGUCACUAGGCAAGAUGCAUUUGGACUGGCUUGUGCCUGCCCCCACCACGUCCGCCAAA
rnacentral:lncRNA from 1 species